GCUGAAAUAGCUCAGUUGGGAGAGCGUUAGGCCUUAGAUGGAGUGGUCCCUGGUUCGAUCCCGGGAUUCGGCA
rnacentral:tRNA from 1 species